rnacentral:rRNA from 1 species
UAUGUGAUCGUCUCUUGCAUAUCAAUAAGCGGAGGAAAAGAAACUAACAAGGAUUCCCCUAGUAACGGCGAGUGAAGCGGGAAGAGCUCAAAUUUGAAAUCUUAAAGGGUUUCCCUUUACGAAUUGUAGUUUAAAGAAGUGUUUUCUGUUGAGGUUUUGGUAAAAGUUCUUCGGAAUAGGACAUCAUAGAGGGUGAGAAUCCCGUAUUUGACCUUUACUUUCAACUUUGUGAUACACUUUCAAAGAGUCGGAUUGUUUGGGAAUGCAGUCCAAAAUGGGUGGUAAACUUCAUCUAAAGCUAAAUAUUGGCGAGAGACCGAUAGCGAACAAGUACCGUGAGGGAAAGAUGAAAAGAACUUUGAAAAGAGAGUUAAACAGUACGUGAAAUUGUCAAAAGGGAAGCGUUUGACACCAGUGUUGUUUUUCUGAAAAUCAAUUAAAGAACUGUUUAUGCUAAGUUGUUUAGACUUUAUCAGCUAUCUGUUUAGUUUUGAGCUUUUCUUUAAUGCACUUUUCAGUUAACAAGUCAACAUCAAUUUCUUUUGCUGUAAAAAAGCUUGAGGAAGGUGGCUUGAGAUUCGUCUUAAGUGUUUAUAGCCUCUUGCCUAUGCAGUCGGAGAGAUUGAGGUCUGCAGCGUAGAUCCUUCGGGGCUAAAUGCAUUUGUGCUAAGUUAUAGCAUUUUAUAGACAACUUGUUGACUAUGAUUUGUCUUGUAGCUUACUCGCUUAUGUUAUUUUACCUACGCUUAGGAUGUUGAAGACUCUACAGAGAUA